UACGUAGGGUGCGAGCGUUAAUCGGAAUUACUGGGCGUAAAGCGUGCGCAGGCGGUUCGCCAAGUCAGGUGUGAAAUCCCCGGGCUUAACCUGGGAAUUGCGCUUGAAACUAGCGGGCUUGAGUGCGGCAGAGGGGGGUGGAAUUCCGCGUGUAGCAGUGAAAUGCGUAGAGAUGCGGAGGAACACCGAUGGCGAAGGCAGCCCCCUGGGUCGACACUGACGCUCAGGCACGAAAGCGUGGGGAGCAAACAGG
rnacentral:rRNA from 1 species